rnacentral:rRNA from 1 species
CCACGAGAUGAGCCGUGCGGCCCAUCAUGGUAGUUGGUAGGUAACGGCCUACCAAGCCGAAGACGGGUAGCUGGUCUGAGAGGAUGAUCAGCCACACUGGAACUGAGACACGGUCCAGACUCCUACGGGAGGCAGCAGUGGGGAAUCUUGCGCAAUGGGCGAAAGCCUGACGCAGCGACGCCGCGUGAGUGAUGAAGGCCUUCGGGUUGUAAAGCUCUGUGGAGGGGACGAAUAAGGGUUGGCUAACAUCCAGCUCGAUGACGGUACCCCUUUAGCAAGCACCGGCUAACUCUGUGCCAGCAGCCGCGGUAAGACAGAGGGUGCAAACGUUGUUCGGAAUUACUGGGCGUAAAGCGCGCGUAGGCGGCUGAACAAGUUGGAUGUGAAAGCCCUGGGCUCAACCUAGGAUGUGCAUUCAAAACUGUUCGGCUUGAGUCUCGGAGGGGGUCAGAGAAUUCUCGGUGUAGAGGUGAAAUUCGUAGAUAUCGGGAGGAACACCAGUGGCGAAGGC